GACGAACGUUGGCGGCGUGCUUAAUACAUGCAAGUCAACUGAAGCAGUGGUAGCAAUAUCGCUGUGGAGGUGGCGCACGGGUGAGUAACACGUAGGUAAUCUGCCUUCAGGUCUGGCAUAACUCCGGGAAACCGGGGCUAAUAGCAGAUGAUGCAGCGGCUCGACAUCGAGACAGUUGUUAAAGCUAUGGCGCCUGAAGAUGAGCCUGCGUCUGAUUAGCUAGUUGGCGGGGUAACGGCCCACCAAGGCAACGAUCAGUAGCUGGUCUGAGAGGAUGAUCAGCCACACUGGAACUGAGACACGGUCCAGACUCCUACGGGAGGCAGCAGUAAGGAAUAUUGCUCAAUGGGAGAAAUCCUGAAGCAGCAACGCCGCGUGAGGGACGAAGGGCUUUUGCUUGUAAACCUCUGUAGUGAGAGAAAAAAAUCCCAGUCUUUGGGACAUGAUGGUAUCUCAAAAGUAAGCCCCGGCUAACUACGUG
rnacentral:rRNA from 1 species